GUGGGGAAUAUUGGACAAUGGGGGCAACCCUGAUCCAGCCAUGCCGCGUGAGUGAAGAAGGCCUUCGGGUUGUAAAGCUCUUUCAGAUGUGAAGAUGAUGACGGUAGCAUCAGAAGAAGCCCCGGCUAACUUCGUGCCAGCAGCCGCGGUAAUACGAAGGGGGCUAGCGUUGUUCGGAAUUACUGGGCGUAAAGCGCGCGUAGGCGGCGUCGUCAGUCAGGGGUGAAAUCCCGGGGCUCAACCUCGGAAUUGCCUUUGAUACUGCGAUGCUUGAGUCCGUGAGAGGAUGGUGGAAUACCCAGUGUAGAGGUGAAAUUCGUAGAUAUUGGGUGGAACACCAGUGGCGAAGGCGGCCAUCUGGCACGGUACUGACGCUGAGGUGCGAAAGCGUGGGGAGCAAACAGGAUUAGAUACCCUAGUAGUCC
rnacentral:rRNA from 1 species